rnacentral:rRNA from 1 species
AUUGAACGCUGGCGGCAUGCUUUACACAUGCAAGUCGAACGGCAGCGCGGGCUUCGGCCUGGCGGCGAGUGGCGAACGGGUGAGUAAUGCAUCGGAACGUGCCCAGUAGUGGGGGAUAGCGCGGCGAAAGCCGGAUUAAUACCGCAUACGACCUGAGGGUGAAAGCGGGGGACCGACAGGCCUCGCGCUAUUGGAGCGGCCGAUGUCGGAUUAGCUAGUUGGUGGGGUAAAGGCUUACCAAGGCGACGAUCCGUAGCUGGUCUGAGAGGACGACCAGCCACACUGGGACUGAGACACGGCCCAGACUCCUACGGGAGGCAGCAGUGGGGAAUUUUGGACAAUGGGGGCAACCCUGAUCCAGCCAUGCCGCGUGCGGGAAGAAGGCCUUCGGGUUGUAAACCGCUUUUGUUCGGGAAGAAAGCCUCUGGGCUAAUACCCCGGGGGGAUGACGUUACCGGAAGAAUAAGCACCGGCUAACUACGUG